CGACGCCGCCCAGCAGCGCGCCGCAAAGUGACGCAAUAUCGCUGGCAAACAGCACCUGAAAAAUAGACGCCAUUACAAACAGCCCCGCCAGCGGCGCCAUAUACACCAGCAUCGCUGAGCCCAGCAGGCUGCUUUCCGCGAUCCCCAGCUCCACUUUUUUGCCCCGCGGCCAACGGCUGCUCGCAGGGCACGCUAAUGGUAUGGCUGGUCUGCGGCCCCAGCUUGUUUAGCACCCGGCUACCACAGCCGGCACGGGAGGCGCAGCUGCUGCAGGAGGCUUUAAUGUCGCAGUGCACCUGCGCCACGCCGUUAUGCCAGGAAACCACGGUAGCCCACUCUUUAAUCAUUGUACUGCCUUGAAUUUAAUACUGUCAGAGAUACGC
rnacentral:ncRNA from 1 species